rnacentral:tRNA from 1 species
UCCCUGAUAGCUCAGUUGGUAAAGAAUCCGCCUGCAAUGCGGGAGACCUGGGUUCAAUCCCUGGGUUGGGAG